AUGGGUGUGGUCGCAAGGGCCGGAGGUAAGGCUGGGAGCACCCCAUCAGUGACACCCCUCCCUCCAAGAGCAGCACGGAGCCAGGGGGGAGGGGGCCAACGAACCACAGGAAGAGGCGGAGAAGGGCCGGGGUCUCCUUUGGUCAAAGCUGAUAUCAAAAAUAUAAAUCUCCCUUCCCCCAUCCCACCCCCGUCCCGGGGUUUCACCCCCACCCCCACCCCCGGGCUAAGGCACAAAGCAGUGAGGCCAGGUGGGGCCGCCGCCACCGCGGCGACGCUGCCGCUGCUACUACAGUUGUCCGGGCGCGGUGUGCCUGCUCGCGGCUGCCGCCGCCGCCGCUCCCUGGGGACACGGGCCGGGGCCACGCGGCGGCGACAUGUCAGGCCGGCAAGAGGCGCUCUAGGUCGGGGAAAAACGGUCGAUGGUCCGGCCGUCGGGCCCGGCGGCCAGGUGCGCUCCCUGGCUCAGCACCUCGGCCGCCUUGUCCGGGCUGAGGCCCAGCUCCGCGGUGAACUUAGCCAGCGGGUAGAGGCUCUCCAGCGCCACCUUGGGGUCGUGCAGGAAGUGCGUGGUCUGCGCCAGCAGCUCGGCCGCGGCUGCCUUGUCCUGCUGCUUCAGGCUCAGCUGUUCAGCCGUGAGGCGGGCCACAGCAAAGACGCCCUCGGGGAAGUCGAGCUUGCCCUUGCCGUCAGGUCCGGGGACGCCGGGCAGCCCCCCCAGACCCGCCAACGCCCCGGCUGCGCCUGCCGCGCCACCCACGGCGUGCAUCUUCAUGUGGCUGAUGAGGUUGCGUUGCUGCGCGAACUUGCCGCCGCACACCUGGCACUCGUAGGGCUUCUCGCCCGAGUGGAUGCGCAUGUGUUCGGUCAGGCGGUACUGGCGCGUGAAGCGCAUGCCGCACGCGUCGCACGCGAAGGGUUUGAGGCCCAGGUGGCUGCGCAUGUGGCGAGUCAUGGUUCCGCGCUGCGUGAACUUCUUCCCGCAGAUGGUGCAAGGAUAGGGCCGGGUCAGCCAGUGCGUCUUCUCGUGCUGUCGCAGCGUGGCCGGGUCCUUGUAGCUCUUGUCGCACGACGCGCAGCGGUACGGCCGCAGCAGCUCGCCCAGGCCGCCCGGUGCCCCAGCGACCUUGUCCCCACUGCCUCCAAAAGGGGGCCCCAAGCCGGUGGCCCCCGCCGUUCCAUCAGCCGCCUCGGCCCUGCCGUACAGCGCCUCCUCCUCCUCCACGUGAGCUUCCACGUGUGCGUUCAGCUGCUCCGAGCUGGGGAAGCCCUUGCCGCACGGAAUGCACACGUACAGGUUGUCACCGAAGCUCUCAGGCUCGCCGUAAGCCAGGUGCGGGCACGGAUAGCCCUCGAGGUGGCCGCCGGGCGGGCUGGGGUCCUCGCUGCUGCCCGUCUCCUCGCUGCUGCUCUUGUAGUCGUCGCCGUCGCCGCCCGCGCCUGGCCCGUCCAGGCUGCUCUGGUAGCGCGGCGGCGCCAGGCCCAGUGGGGGCACCCCGGGCGAAGC
rnacentral:lncRNA from 1 species